GACGAACGCUGGCGGCGUGCCUAAUACAUGCAAGUCGAACGAAGCUGUUUUAACUGGUGCUUGCACCGACAUAAACAACUGAGUGGCGAACGGGUGAGUAACACGUGGGUAACCUGCCCCAAAGCGGGGGAUAACAUUUGGAAACAGAUGCUAAUACCGCAUAACCACAGAAACCACAUGGUUUCUGUGUCAAAGAUGGUUUCGGCUAUCACUUUGGGAUGGACCCGCGGCGUAUUAGCUAGUUGGUAAGGUAAUGGCUUACCAAGGCAAUGAUACGUAGCCGAACUGAGAGGUUGAUCGGCCACAUUGGGACUGAGACACGGCCCAAACUCCUACGGGAGGCAGCAGUAGGGAAUCUUCCACAAUGGACGAAAGUCUGAUGGAGCAACGCCGCGUGAGUGAAGAAGGUUUUCGGAUCGUAAAACUCUGUUGUCAGAGAAGAACGUGUGCGAGAGUAACUGCUCGUGCAGUGACGGUAUCUGGCCAGAAAGCCACGACUAACUACGUGCCAGCCGCCGCAGUAA
rnacentral:rRNA from 1 species